CUACGGGAGGCAGCAGUGGGGAAUAUUGGACAAUGGGGGAAACCCUGAUCCAGCAAUGCCGCGUGUGUGAAGAAGGCCUGCGGGUUGUAAAGCACUUUCGGUUGGGAGGACUGCUUCUAGCACUAAUAUUGUUGGAAGUUGACGUUACCUUCAGAAGAAGCACCGGCUAACUCCGUGCCAGCAGCCGCGGUAAUACGGAGGGUGCAAGCGCUAAUCGGAAUUACUGGGCGUAAAGCGCGCGUAGGCGGCUAGAUCAGUCGGGUGUGAAAGCCCCGGGCUUAACCUGGGAACUGCAUCCGAUACUGUCUAGCUGGAGUACAGGAGAGGAGAGUGGAAUUCCACAUGUAGCGGUGAAAUGCGUAGAUAUGUGGAGGAACACCAAUGGCGAAGGCAGCUCUCUGGCCUGAUACUGACGCUGAGGUGCGAAAGCGUGGGGAGCAAACAGGAUUAGAUACCCCUGUAGUC
rnacentral:rRNA from 1 species